CCUACGGGGUGCUGCAGUGGGGAAUAUUGGACAAUGGGCGAAAGCCUGAUCCAGCCAUGCCGCGUGUGUGAAGAAGGCCUUCGGGUUGUAAAGCACUUUCAGUGGGGAAGAAAGCCUUGGGGCUAAUACCCUCGAGGAAGGACAUCACCCACAGAAGAAGCACCGGCUAACUCCGUGCCAGCAGCCGCGGUAAUACGGAGGGUGCGAGCGUUAAUCGGAAUUACUGGGCGUAAAGCGCGCGUAGGCGGUCUGAUAAGCCGGUUGUGAAAGCCCCGGGCUCAACCUGGGAACGGCAUCCGGAACUGUCAGGCUAGAGUGCAUGAGAGGAAGGUAGAAUUCCCGGUGUAGCGGUGAAAUGCGUAGAGAUCGGGAGGAAUACCAGUGGCGAAGGCGGCCUUCUGGACUGACACUGACGCUGAGGUGCGAAAGCGUGGGUAGCAAACAGGAUUAGAUACCCGGGUAGUC
rnacentral:rRNA from 1 species